UACGUAGGGUGCGAGCGUUAAUCGGAAUUACUGGGCGUAAAGCGUGCGCAGGCGGUUAUGCAAGACAGAUGUGAAAUCCCCGGGCUCAACCUGGGAACUGCAUUUGUGACUGCAUAGCUAGAGUACGGUAGAGGGGGAUGGAAUUCCGCGUGUAGCAGUGAAAUGCGUAGAUAUGCGGAGGAACACCGAUGGCGAAGGCAAUCCCCCUGGACCUGU
rnacentral:rRNA from 1 species